rnacentral:lncRNA from 1 species
GAGAACGGGCAUUUUUAAGGAAUCAUUAUUUGUACAUAAAGAAAUAAAAGGUAAAUCCAACAGCCCAGAGACGCUUGCAUUUCAGUAGAAAUGGACUUUCUCGGGUUAAAAGGUGCUGAAAGAGAUCCCACUCAAUCACUCCUGAAUUUCCAGAAACAUAGGCAUUUGUCCAUGUCAAAAUUAUCCACUCAACGGGCAUCUCUUUGGCUCCACCCUCCAGUUUCAGAGUGCCCAAAUGGCAAAAGGCAGCCAGCUGGAUUGCCAAAUGCUCCUCCUCCACUCCUGGUCCUUCAUGUUCCUCUAAAGAAGACCUCCCAGUUCUCUUCUGCCUUGUUCGUGACCCAAAAGAGGCCUUUUAAUGGAAGUGUUCCUAGCAGACCUCCUCUUGGUCUUCUCCAUCAAUUACUAACUGUGACUCCUGCCGCUCCAUAGGAUAAAUGGCGAUAUUGGGUGAAUAGCUCAGAUACGUUUAUUGAUCUGAAUAUCAGGGUGUUAUCAAAGUCUACUGGAUUGUAUCACAGAUUUAGGGCUCUAAUUUAAUGACAUUUCUGAAAGAGCGAAAUACCCACAUCCCUGUCUCUCCCCGACAACUGGCAAAAACGGGGAACGCAGCUCUGAACACGAUCAAAUCAAGGGUGUCGACUCAGAGUGAGAUCGUACAGCUUCAAAAGUAAUGUCGAUCUGCUCGCAACUUCACGCAAACCCAGCAGAGCCCCCAGCAGGACCCCCACGUACCCGCCUCUCAAUCCGGAGUUCGGGACGGGGGAGCACCCCUACUCGGGUCCUUCCCGCCGGCCGCCCGGAAAGCCCGGAGCGCGGAAGCGGAGCGACCCUCGGCAGCCGCGGGACGGGCAUGCUCAGUAGGCCCGCAGGUCUGGUUUCACUCGGAAGCCAGCCGCGGACCCCGCCCCCUCCCGCCCCGCACGGGCGCCCGGAGAAGCGGACAUUUUAUCCUUCUCUGCCAUCCGCUCCCUCUUUCGUGUCCUUCGCCCCCUGUCUGAGUCCUUCCACCUCUCGCCCAUCGGGGUCUGGGGACAUUAACUUGAAGAAAAUCAGCUGUUUGCCAAGAAAGGAGGGCUUGGAUGAAAGAGGAUGGAAGGAGGCUUGUCUCACUUGCAGGAGGAGGAAACGCAGGUCAGCAACGGCACCAUUUCACCAGCACCAUCAUCAUCAGUUCUGA